AUUGAACGCUGGCGGCAGGCCUAACACAUGCAAGUCGAGCGAGCGGCGGACGGGUGAGUAAUGUAUGGGGACUGCCCGAUAGAGGGGGAUAACUACUGGAAACGGUGGCUAAUACCGCAUACUAUCGGAUAACCCAUAUGGGAUUAGCUAGUAGGUGGGGUAAAGGCUCACCUAGGCGACGAUCUCUAGCUGGUCUGAGAGGAUGAUCAGCCACACCGGGACUUGGAAACGGCCCAGAAUCCUACGGAGGGAGGAGGGGGGAAUUUUGGAAAAUUGGCGCAAGGCCGAAGCCGCCCAGGCGCGUGUAAGAAAAAGGCCCUAGGGUUGUAAAGUAAUUUCCGCCGGGAGGCGUUACCCGCAGAAGAAGCACCGGCUAACUCCGUGCCAGCAGCCGCGGUAAUUC
rnacentral:rRNA from 1 species